GCUUGCCUGGGGUGGAUGAGUGGCGAACGGGUGAGUAACACGUGAGUAACCUGCCCCAGACUCUGGGAUAACUCCGGGAAACCGGGGCUAAUACUGGAUAUGACAUCCUGCUGCAUGGUGGGGUGUGGAAAGGCUUGUCUGGUUUGGGAUGGGCUCGCGGCCUAUCAGCUUGUUGGUGGGGUGAUGGCCUACCAAGGCGGUGACGGGUAGCCGGCCUGAGAGGGUGACCGGCCACACUGGGACUGAGACACGGCCCAGACUCCUACGGGAGGCAGCAGUGGGGAAUAUUGCACAAUGGGCGCAAGCCUGAUGCAGCGACGCCGCGUGAGGGAUGACGGCCUUCGGGUUGUAAACCUCUUUCAGUAGGGAAGAAGCCUUCGGGUGACGGUACCUGCAGAAGAAGCGCCGGCUAACUACGUGCCAGCAGCCGCGGUAAUACGUAGGGCGCAAGCGUUGUCCGGAAUUAUUGGGCGUAAAGAGCUCGUAGGCGGUUUGUCGCGUCUGCUGUGAAAACGCGAGGCUCAACCUCGCGCCUGCAGUGGGUACGGGCAGACUAGAGUGCGGUAGGGGAGACUGGAAUUCCUGGUGUAGCGGUGGAAUGCGCAGAUAUCAGGAGGAACACCGGUGGCGAAGGCGGGUCUCUGGGCCGUAACUGACGCUGAGGAGCGAAAGCAUGGGGAGCGAACAGGAUUAGAUACCCUGGUAGUCCAUGCCGUAAACGUUG
rnacentral:rRNA from 1 species